UACAGAGGGUGCAAGCGUUGUUCGGAAUUAUUGGGCGUAAAGCGCGUGUAGGCGGCAUGGCAAGUCGGGUGUGAAAGCCCUCAGCUUAACUGAGGAAGUGCGCCCGAAACUGCUUUGCUUGAGUGCCGGAGAGGAUGGCGGAAUUCCCCAAGUAGAGGUGAAAUUCGUAGAUAUGGGGAGGAACACCGGUGGCGAAGGCGGCCAUCUGGACCGACAUUGACGCUGAGGCGGCGAAAGCGUGGGGAGCAAACAGG
rnacentral:rRNA from 1 species